GUUGUGUCAUCAGUACAUACACUAAAAUUAAAAUUAUACAGAGCAGAUUAGUAGUGUCCCUGUAUAAGGAUAAAAGGCAAACUUAUGAAGAACUCCAUAUUAUU